AGUUCUGCAGAUACCGAGAAGAGCAACGGUCCACCAAACCGUGGGUCGGGAGUUCGAAUCUCCCCAGGCCUACCA
rnacentral:tRNA from 1 species